rnacentral:tRNA from 4 species
UCGGGGAUCGUCUAAUGGUAGGACAGCGGCCUUUGGCGCCGUCAAUCGGGGUUCGAAUCCCUGUCCCCGAG